CCAAUUAGCUGUUCAAGAACACAGUUAUCAGUUGGGGAGCAAAGGCCUCUGACAUGGCGGUGUUCGGUUCAGUUUUCUUCUGUUUCCCAACAACAAGAUGAACUUCAGCAAGAAGAAGAUAAAGUCACUCACCUCUUCCAGGAAACCUCACCAUCAGUUGUUUUUAGCAAGGACCUUGAGUUAGCUAAAGUCCCCAGCAGUCCUAUGGUCUAGUUACGCUUACAGAGGAUGAGAAUGCUAAAGUUGAAGUAACAGCUUACACCGCCGCCCCCCCGCCUCGAUGAUGUAGCUGAAAUACUACUUCUGAGAGGUCAAGUGCAGUGGCCAUCAUCUGCUGGGUAUUCUUGUUGAUGCUGGAGGCAAUAGCUUGUACAGGGAAGGCAAGAUCAUUGGUUUUGUUCCAUCUUAUUAUCUGGCUGUCCUUAAGGUAUCAGAUCAAACUUAUGGACAGCAUAUUUUGACUUGUUCUUGAUAUAUGCAGAGUACAUUUUGUUAUACUUUAGCAUGAUGACAUCAUUGGAAAAAGUUGCAAACUUGCAAUCAACCUAGCGAUGUCAGGGCUAGUUGCAUAAACUACCUUAUCAUCUAGGACCUGCUUGAUGUCACUAUGAGCAUUAAGUAUUUUGUGUCAUUGAGAAAAAAUCUGAAUACCA